rnacentral:rRNA from 1 species
CCAAUUAAUUUAACUUGGGAGUCAGAACAUGGGUGAUAAGGUCCGUGUUCGAAAGGGAAACAGCCCAGACCACCAGCUAAGGUCCCAAAAUAUAUGUUAAGUGGAAAAGGAUGUGGCGUUGCCCAGACAACUAGGAUGUUGGCUUAGAAGCAGCCAUCAUUUAAAGAGUGCGUAAUAGCUCACUAGUCGAGUGACACUGCGCCGAAAAUGUACCGGGGCUAAACAUAUUACCGAAGCUGUGGAUUGUCCUUUGGACAAUGGUAGGAGAGCGUUCUAAGGGCGUUGAAGCAUGAUCGUAAGGACAUGUGGAGCGCUUAGAAGUGAGAAUGCCGGUGUGAGUAGCGAAAGACGGGUGAGAAUCCCGUCCACCGAUUGACUAAGGUUUCCAGAGGAAGGCUCGUCCGCUCUGGGUUAGUCGGGUCCUAAGCUGAGGCCGACAGGCGUAGGCGAUGGAUAACAGGUUGAUAUUCCUGUACCACCUAUAAUCGUUUUAAUCGAUGGGGGGACGCAGUAGGAUAGGCGAAGCGUGCGAUUGGAUUGCACGUCUAAGCAGUAAGGCUGAGUAUUAGGCAAAUCCGGUACUCGUUAAGGCUGAGCUGUGAUGGGGAGAAGACAUUGUGUCUUCGAGUCGUUGAUUUCACACUGCCGAGAAAAGCCUCUAGAUAGAAAAUAGGUGCCCGUACCGCAAACCGACACAGGUAGUCAAGAUGAGAAUUCUAAGGUGAGCGAGCGAACUCUCGUUAAGGAACUCGGCAAAAUGACCCCGUAACUUCGGGAGAAGGGGUGCUCUUUAGGGUUAACGCCCAGAAGAGCCGCAGUGAAUAGGCCCAAGCGACUGUUUAUCAAAAACACAGGUCUCUGCUAAACCGUAAGGUGAUGUAUAGGGGCUGACGCCUGCCCGGUGCUGGAAGGUUAAGAGGAGUGGUUAGCUUCUGCGAAGCUACGAAUCGAAGCCCCAGUAAACGGCGGCCGUAACUAUAACGGUCCUAAGGUAGCGAAAUUCCUUGUCGGGUAAGUUCCGACCCGCACGAAAGGCGUAACGAUUUGGGCACUGUCUCAACGAGAGACUCGGUGAAAUCAUAGUACCUGUGAAGAUGCAGGUUACCCGCGACAGGACGGAAAGACCCCGUGGAGCUUUACUGUAGCCUGAUAUUGAAAUUCGGCACAGCUUGUACAGGAUAGGUAGGAGCCUUUGAAACGUGAGCGCUAGCUUACGUGGAGGCGCUGGUGGGAUACUACCCUAGCUGUGUUGGCUUUCUAACCCGCACCACUUAUCGUGGUGGGAGACAGUGUCAGGCGGGCAGUUUGACUGGGGCGGUCGCCUCCUAAAAGGUAACGGAGGCGCUCAAAGGUUCCCUCAGAAUGGUUGGAAAUCAUUCAUAGAGUGUAAAGGCAUAAGGGAGCUUGACUGCGAGACCUACAAGUCGAGCAGGGUCGAAAGACGGACUUAGUGAUCCGGUGGUU